rnacentral:lncRNA from 1 species
GUGGGGCUGGAAUAGGGCACCAGGUGGCUGAGGAGAUGGGGGCAGCUCAGUGGUGACCUCAUCCAUUCCAUCCAGCGGUGACAGAGGCCUUACGGGCACCAAGCAAGAUCUCUGGUUGUAGUGGAACUAGGAAUCUGCAUGACAAUCUGUCGGAUCUCCGUGCCCAGGUGGCAGCCAACCAAAAGGGCAUACGGUUGGUGGGGGAGCUCAUCGGGCAAUAUGGCUUGGAUGUUGUGCAGGCCUACAUGGGCCACAUUCAGGUGGGUCUAGGGGCAGGGAGGUGGGAGCCCCACUCUGCCUGCCCAAGGUGCAGGGCCACUCUGAAAGUAGCAUGGCUGCCAUGGGACCCUCUCCCUGCCAGGCAAAUGCAGAGCUGGCAGUGCGUGACAUGCUGCGGGCCUUUGGAACCUCCCGGCAGGCUCGGGGACUACCCCUUGAGGUGUCUGCGGAGGACCACAUGGAUGAUGGCUCGCCUAUACACCUCCGAGUUCAAAUCAACCUGAGUCAGGUCAGACCUAGUUGGGAGACAGGGAGGGAGCUUUCUGCGCCACCCCACUGCUGAUGCCUUCACCCUUCUCCUUCCUGGGCAGGGCAGUGCUGUAUUUGACUUCAGUGGCACUGGGCCGGAGGUGUUUGGCAACCUCAAUGCCCCGCGGGCCAUAACGCUGUCGGCCCUCAUCUACUGCUUGCGCUGUCUUGUGGGCCGUGACAUCCCACUCAACCAGGUUCGCAGGGGGGUGGAGUCUGAGGUCGGUCCCUACCAGUGCGAGGUCAGCAGGUGAACCUGAGGCUGGAGGUCACCCUGAGUGUGUGUGGGGUCAAGGUCAGCCCAACGUGGACUGAGCCCGGGAGGUGGGCAUGUUUCUCUUGGAAUCAGAGAGGGACCCAGCCCCAUUUGCCCCUGAGAGCUGCUUGCCCAUGCACAGGGCUGCCUGGCACCUGUGCGGGUGGUGAUUCCUAGAGGCUCCAUCCUGGACCCAUCCUCAGAGGCAGCGGUGGUGGGCGGCAACGUGCUCACGUCACAGCGUGUGGUGGACGUCAUCCUGGCGGCCUUCGGGGCCUGCGCUGCCUCCCAGGUGUGAUAGGCAGGCUGGGUGCGGCCCUGGGGGCUUCUGGGAACUCUGGGAGGGCGAGG